AAUAGAUACCCCGGUAGUCCACGCCGUAAACGAUGAGUGCUAAGUGUUAGAGGGUUUCCGCCCUUUAGUGCUGCAGCUAACGCAUUAAGCACUCCGCCUGGGGAGUACGGCCGCAAGGCUGAAACUCAAAGGAAUUGACGGGGGCCCGCACAAGCGGUGGAGCAUGUGGUUUAAUUCGAAGCAACGCGAAGAACCUUACCAGGUCUUGACAUCCUCUGACAACCCUAGAGAUAGGGCUUUCCCCUUCGGGGGACAGAGUGACAGGUGGUGCAUGGUUGUCGUCAGCUCGUGUCGUGAGAUGUUGGGUUAAGUCCCGCAACGAGCGUAACCCUUGAUCUUAGUUGCCAGCAUUCAGUUGGGCACUCUAAGGUGACUGCCGGUGACAAACCGGAGGAAGGUGGGGAUGACGUCAAAUCAUCAUGCCCCUUAUGACCUGGGCUACACACGUGCUACAAUGGAUGGUACAAAGGGCUGCAAACCUGCGAAGGUAAGCGAAUCCCAUAAAGCCAUUCUCAGUUCGGAUUGCAGGCUG
rnacentral:rRNA from 1 species